UAUGGCCACACCAUGUUGAAACACUGGUUCUCGUAUGAUCACCGAAGUUAAGCAACAUUGAGCCUGGUCAAUACCUAGAUGGGUGACUGCUUGAGAAUAACAGAUGCUGUAUG